AGUGGACGUAUACGGUGUGACGCCUGCCCGGUGCUGGAAGGUUAAUUGAUGGGGUCAGCCGUAAGGCGAAGCUCCUGAUCGAAGCCCCAGUAAACGGCGGCCGUAACUAUAACGGUCCUAAGGUAGCGAAAUUCCUUGUCGGGUAAGUUCCGACCUGCACGAAUGGCGUAAUGAUGGCCAGGCUGUCUCCACCCGAGACUCAGUGAAAUUGAACUCGCUGUGAAGAUGCAGUGUACCCGCGGCAAGACGGAAAGACCCCGUGAACCUUUACUAUAGCUUGACACUGAACAUUGAGCCUUGAUGUGUAGGAUAGGUGGGAGGCUUUGAAGUGUGGACGCCAGUCUGCAUGGAGCCAACCUUGAAAUACCACCCUUUAACGUUUGAUGUUCUAACCUA
rnacentral:rRNA from 1 species